rnacentral:misc_RNA from 1 species
GAUGAAGAACGUAGCGAAAUGCGAUAAGUAAUGUGAAUUGCAGAAUUCAGUGAAUCAUCGAAUCUUUGAACGCACAUUGCGCCCCCUGGUAUUCCGGGGCGCAUGCCUGUUCGAGCGUCAUUUCACCACUCAAGCCUCGCUUGGUAUUGGGCAACGCGGUCCGCCGCGUGCCUCAAAUCGACCGGCUGGGUCUUCUGUCCCCUAAGCGUUGUGGAAACUAUUCGCUAAAGGGUGUUCGGGAGGCUACGCCGUAAAACAACCCCAUUUCUAAGGUUGACCUCGGAUCAGGUAGGGAUACCCGCUGAACUUAAGCAUAUCAAUAAGCGGAGGA